rnacentral:misc_RNA from 1 species
GAAGUUCAUGACUGGAUGUGUGGUCCUCUUUCCCGUGGCUGUUACAUUUUUCAUCACAUGGUGGUUUAUUCAAUUUGUUGAUGGUUUCUUCAGCCCCAUAUAUGAAAGACUUGGUAUUGACAUAUUUGGCCUUGGAUUUGUCACAUCGAUAACCUUCAUAUUCUUCGUUGGCAUUUUUGCUUCAUCAUGGCUGGGUUCAACAGUUUUCUGGUUAGGGGAGUGGUUUAUAAAGAGAAUGCCCUUUGUGAAGCAUUUAUACUCUGCAUCAAAGCAAAUUAGUUCUGCUAUUUCACCAGACCAGAAUACCAAUGCUUUCAAGGAAGUCGCUAUAAUUCGUCAUCCCCGAAUUGGUGAAUAUGCAAUUGGUUUCAUAACAUCUUCAGUUGUUCUCCAGAGAGAUGACGGGGAUGAAGAGUUGUGCAGCAUUUUUGUCCCUACAAAUCAUUUGUAUAUAGGGGACGUAUUUUUGGUUAAUUCCAAUGAUAUCAUCAGACCAAAUUUGUCCGUGCGAGAAGGCAUAGAGAUCAUUGUGUCUGUGGGAAUGUCAAUGCCUCAGGUGAUUUCUCCUAUAGAAAGGAUCACAAGGCAGAACGACCGGAUCCCUUUAAACAGAAUGUUAAAGUAAACAGAAUCCUUAUGAUUGCUUGCACUAAGCUACCACAGUUUCACUUUCGAGGAAAGUCUCACAUUAUUUUUGUCGUCUUCGGUGUUUGAUUGAUGGUUCAGUAUAUCUGAACUGAAGUUAUUAGUGACUUUGUUGUAUGUUUAUUCUUUAGGAUUAGGACGAGGAGAUACAGUUUGUUUGAAACAAAUAGGUAGGGAGGCAUUGUUUUGGCUGUAAUUGGUUUCCUCUAAUUGAACAAUUCAUCGUGGUCGGUAUAUAUUAUUGUAACUUAUGAUUUCUAGUUUUUGUAUUAUAAAGAAGCGGUCAAUACAGUCAUCCAAUUUUGUGUUUAC